AGGGAAAUAGCUCAGUGAUAGAGCACAUGCUUAGCAUGCAUAAGGUCCUGGGUUCACUCUCAGUACCCUCA
rnacentral:tRNA from 1 species